rnacentral:misc_RNA from 1 species
AAAUGCGAUAAGUAGUGUGAAUUGCAGAAUUCAGUGAAUCAUCGAAUCUUUGAACGCACAUUGCGCCCCUUGGUAUUCCAUGGGGCAUGCCUGUUCGAGCGUCAUUUGUACCCUCAAGCUCUGCUUGGUGUUGGGUGUUUGUCCCCGUCUCCGCGCGUGGACUCGCCCCAAAGUGAUUGGCAGCCGGCGUACUGGUCCCGGAGCGCAGCACAUGUCGCGCAAACGAGUGCCUUGGUACGGCGGCGUCCAUAGCCCCUCUCUCACGCUCUUGACCUCGGAUCAGGUAGGGAUACCCGCUGAACUUAAGC